AUUGAACGCUGGCGGCAGGCCUAACACAUGCAAGUCGAGCGAGCGGCGGACGGGUGAGUAAUGUCUGGGAAACUGCCUGAUGGAGGGGGAUAACUACUGGAAACGGUAGCUAAUACCGCAUACCAUCAGAUGUGCCCAGAUGGGAUUAGCUAGUAGGUGGGGUAACGGCUCACAUAGGCGACGCACCCUGGCUGGUCUGAGAGGAUGACCAGCAACACUGGAACUGCGACACGGUCCAGACUCCUACGGAAGGCAGAAGGGGGGAAUAUUCGACAAUGGGCGCAAGCCUGAUGCGGCCAUGCCGGGUGUGUGAAGAGGGCCUUCGGGUUGUAAAUCACUUUCAGCGGGGAGGCGUUACCCGCAGAAGAAGCACCGGCUAACUCCGUGCCAGCCGCCGCGGUAAUAC
rnacentral:rRNA from 1 species